UACAGAGGUCCCAAGCGUUGUUCGGAUUCACUGGGCGUAAAGGGUGCGUAGGCGGUCGGGUAAGUCUGACGUGAAAUCUUCAAGCUCAACUUGGAAACUGCGUCGGAUACUAUUCGGCUAGAGGAAUGGAGGGGAGACUGGAAUACUUGGUGUAGCAGUGAAAUGCGUAGAUAUCAAGCAGAACACCUGCGGCGAAGGCGACUACCUGGCCUGUUCUUGACGCUGAGGCGCGAAAGCUAGGGGAGCAAACGGG
rnacentral:rRNA from 1 species